rnacentral:rRNA from 1 species
UACGUAGGGGGCAAGCGUUGUCCGGAUUUAUUGGGCGUAAAGAGCGUGUAGGCGGCCAGAUAGGUCCGUUGUGAAAACUGGAGGCUUAACCUUCAGACGUCGAUGGAAACCAUCUGGCUAGAGUCCGGAAGAGGAGAAUGGAAUUCCUGGUGUAGCGGUGAAAUGCGCAGAUAUCAGGAAGAACACCCGUGGCGAAGGCGGUUCUCUGGGACGGUACUGACGCUGAGCCGCGAAAGCGUGGGGAGCGAACAGG